CCUGGAGGAAGGUGGGGAUGACGUCAAAUCAUCAUGCCCCUUAUGCUUAGGGCUACACACGUGCUACAAUGGGUAGUACAGAGGGUUGCCAAGCCGUAAGGUGGAGCUAAUCCCUUAAAGCUACUCUCAGUUCGGAUUGUAGGCUGAAACUCGCCUACAUGAAGCUGGAGUUACUAGUAAGCGCAGAUCAGAAUGCUGCGGUGAAUGCGUUCCCGGGUCUUGUACACACCGCCCGUCACACCACGGGAGUUGGAGACGCCCGAAGCCGAUUAUCUAACCUUUUGGAAGAAGUCGUCGAAGGUGGAAUCAAUAACUGGGGUGAAGUCGUAACAAGGUAGCCGUAUCGGAAGGUGCGGCUGGAUCACCUCCUUUCUAAGGAGA
rnacentral:rRNA from 1 species